CCUUUAGCUCAAUUGGAUAGAGCAUCUGACUACGGAUCAGAAGGUUGGGGGUUCGACUCCCUCAAGGU
rnacentral:tRNA from 1 species